rnacentral:lncRNA from 1 species
GACCGCAUCCGAAAUUGGAGCUUUGGAAACCUCCACCUCGAGGAACGAAGAGCAGCCCGAGGUUUCCGACCCGAUCGCGAUGGAUUCGGCCGUCGAUCUAGUUGCCAAGACGGGAUCCGACGGCGGACACUCGCCGGACGUUGCCCCGCGCACGAAUCACCACGCGGAGGACGGCGCUUCCCCUCCCCCGCCGCCGCCGCCUCCGCCUCCUGGUCCUGGUCCUGACGACCCCCAGUCCCAAAAGCAGUCCAGACCCCAGACCCUGCCGCCUGAUCCGACUACGAUCGAGACCCCGCCCGUCCCCGCCGCUGCCACGGCACCGGCUGAGUCGAACCCCUACGUCGCUCGCUCCCCCGCGGCGAACUCCUCCUCCUCCUCCUCGAAAAGUAGAGCUUUCCCCCUUCUUUUUUGUUUGGGGUCCGAUUUUUGCUUUGUCAAGGUCGAGCAUUGAUUGGUCGGAAUGGUUAGGUACGACGGAGACGGUGAAGAACGUGCUUAAGAGAUGGGGGAAGAAGGUCGGGGAGUCGGCGAAGAAAGCUGAGGAUUUCUCCAGAAAUACAUGGCAGCACCGUGAGUAUUGCAAUUUUAGGGUUCCUCCUCAUCUCGUUUUGAAUGCGUACAUCUUAAAAGGAAAUAUAUGUGCUACGAAGAUAGUUAUGUAGAUACUAGAAUGGCUCUUUCCUUCCCUUCUCUCGCCCUACUGACUUGCAGUAUAGAACUGUGGAAUUUUGGAUGCAUGGCUUAUUGGAACUUAGGAUCCUUACUUUUUUGUUGAUAGUAAGCCCUAAGUCGUUCUAUGUAAUGCAGUUUUGAAGUGAGAUAAGAUGAGAGUGAACAAGGAAGAUCACGAAAUUAUUGAAAAUCCGGAUGUAACAUUGGGUUCUUACUUUUUGUUGAUAUGAAGCUCUAACAUUGGGUUCUUACAAUUUUGAGGUGCGAUAAGAUGCGAGUGAACGAGGAACACAAAAUUAUUGAAAAUUUAAACUGGAAAUCCAAUGAUAUGUGAGAAUGGUAAACGAUUGCAGCAGAAAAUUUAUGAUAUUCUUAUUCUUUGCCUGUUGCAGCAAGUUAAUCCUUUUUGGCUGUUAAUUAUAGUCAGUUAUGUUUCCCUGUUUGGGAUCUGGUAAGGAUAUACUGCUUCUAAAACUUUCCAAAAAUAGUGUGCAAAUCUGUCAUAUCUUUUUCUUGCAUUAUGAUCUGAUUUUAGUUGCAGGGAAUAAUGGUAGGUCGGCCUGUUGACUUGUUAAAUGACUAAUUCCAUUUUAUUCCCAUCCUUCAUUCCAAUUGAGACGUUGUAAUUUGAAUUUUCAGAUUGACUUUUAACCUGCUCGAACUAUGCAUCCUAUUCAUAGGCAUGGGUCUAAGCUAAAGACAAGUUUUUUAAGUGGAGUUAAUUAUUUAUUUACGGUGGUAGCAAGCUAUAUAUGCAAGCAGUAACUUCACGGGGUAUAUGCUAAGAGCAUCACAGUAGGUCAUGCAAUUUAAGAAAUAGUUUUAGUUGUCGUUUGUUGUUUGUGUGAGAAAAGAAGAGGAGCAAGGGAAGGGGGUAGAUAACUUGUGCAGAUGGGUGGAUAAGUCAUAUGGCUGGCUCUUGCCAAUAGUUUUAGCCAUUAGAAGGGCUUGUAAACUAGAUUGACUUGGAAAUUGGAAUUGUUGACAACAUAGAACUAAAAUGAACAAAGUUGUAACUUUUCCGUUCUCUUUAGAAUUAACCUGCAAAUGCCUAUAUUAUAUAUGUUUAUGUUUAAUUAUAUUAUAGCCAAUAACUACAAGCUAUUUGAUAUAGAUUGUAUAACUUUUGUAAGUCAAACAAAAUCUGGAUCAGAUUCUCUUUAUGAAGUCUAAAAUUUGACAUCGUGUAGGAAGCUCUAUAGAACUUUGCUAUUUUAGGUUAUUAUCAAACUAUGAGGUCAACAAUGGUUGAUGUAGCCUACUAACAACCGCUAUUUUUGUCAUGUAUAGCAAACUUAAGUAAUAAAAUGCACAGUGACAAUUUAGCCACAUCGACCAUGAUCACUCACGUAAUUUCACUAAUCAUGACACCAUUUCUAAAAUUUAUAAAAUGUGAAGUCAUACAAUUUUUUUAUACUAUCUAUACUUUAGCACAUAGAUAUAGCUUGUUCCAUGUUUUAGGAUGAUCCUAGAAAAAAACACCAAAACUCUUAUAUGCGCCAGUGGAUUUCAUGUGUCAUGCUGAAUUUAGUGUAAGACUAAUACUAAAUUGAUGAGUCAUUCUAGCUGAUUCAUUUUAUUUUCAAUUUAUGUACCUUUAUUUGUCUUUUUUAGCUAAAUAAUUGUGUUGAUCUUUGCCCUUUCACUUCCUUUUAUGAAAACUUCAUCAUUCUUGCUCUGCUUAUUUAGUAGGCCAGUGGCAUAUUUAUUGAUGUUUUGUGUUCCUAUUCAUUCCAGUGAACACUGGACCCAGUUUUGUUGAAGCUACCAUGGGAAGGAUUGCUCAGGGUACCAAAGUGAUUGCAGAAGGUGGUUAUGAUAAGAUAUUUCGACAAACUUUUGACACACUUCCUGAAGAGCAACUUAAGAAAUCCUAUGCGUGCUAUCUGUCAACAUCUGCUGGUCCUGUUAUGGGAGUUCUUUAUCUCUCCACAGCAAAACUUGCAUUUUGCAGUGACAAUCCUCUUUCCUACAAAGUCGGGGAUCAGACUGAAUGGAGUUAUUAUAAGGUAUGCAUUCUGAAACAUAACUAGCAUCAUGAACUUGUGAUCUUAUUUUACUGGAUUCCACCGAGUAUAGGAUAAAUAUGUCUAUGGAAAUAUCAAAAACUUGUGCAUCGAUGUAUACGUAGUCAAACCUAGAAGAACAUUUUCAAAUAUACUAACAAUGGCAUUUAUGUAGAGGAGAAUGGGAGCUAGCUUUCCCAACAGAGUGAAAUUUUUUGACAUUUCACCUUUUGGACCUUCAUAUUAGAUUCUUUGUUAAGCACAGGAGCAAUAAGCUCUGGUAAUGUCUGAGAACAGAAGGAAAAUAGCAUAUACGCUAAGUUUAUCCAACAGAAUCAUCCAUCCGAAGUAUCUUUCAACAAAAUUUUAGGAGUUGAUAUUUCUUUUGUUAGCUAGAGAAGGCCAUUUAUGACAUUGUGCAUACAUGUGCUUCAGCAUAUUUUGUACUCAUGUACAUAACAAAGCAAAAUAUUUAUUAUUUACAAUUUUUUAAAUUUGACACAUAAGCUUGGUAGGAAUAAGCACCAUAAAUGUUCAGUCCAAGAAGUGAAAGACCAUAUGCACUUAAUUUAGCUAACAGGAUUCUUUCCAACCUUUGAGGAUUUAACAUUCCUCUUCGAAGUUCCUCUACUACAUUGUGUUAACCAUAUGCAUGAGCAGACACACUAUUGCAUGUACAAAGGGAAAAAAAAUUUGUUAAUGCUUACAAUUAUUGGGAUUCUACUCAAGUUUCUUAUAGAAUGAUCUAAAGAGCUUCUAAUUUUUAUGAUCGCAAGAAAGGGUUAGAUGGACUAUGUUGUUUGUCCAAAUAUUUAACAUGAAAUUGGGAUCCAUUUUGUUUAAAAGUUUUGGUGCCUUUAUCACCCGAGGAACAAUGACAAGAUUGCCUUGAACCUUAUGUGGGAAUUUUCAUAGAGAACCAAGUUUAUAUUUACUCAUUUGAAUUAAUACAUACAUAUGUAAUACGUAAAGUCCAUAAGCAUGUGUGAUCGUGUCUCUAAGUACGAAGAAUACAUGUUUUAUAUACAUGGAUGUAGGUAAAUAACACACUUGUGUGUACUUUAUAGGCUUAUCUACAAGUAGAUUAAGAUAUAAUUCUAAAUAUUCAUUAAUUUCUCAUAGAUGAUAUCAUAUCAUGAAAGAAGAGGCUUUAGUGAAGGAGAGUAAAGAAAGUAAAAUCAUUAGGCAUUAUAGUAGAUGUGGUAAGUCCUUUAUAGAUAAGUUUUUUCUAAUGAUCUUUUUUUGUAACACUAAGCAUACAACAAUAAUAACAACAAAGUUGUAAGUCCUAGCUAUUUGGGGUCGGAUACAUGGAUCUUUUGCCGCCAUUGAGAUUUGUAAAAAACCAUAUGCUUAUUAGUUAAGAGUAUUUAAAUUUUUAUUUAUAGUUUUCAUUGAGGACUUUUUAAAUCUUUCUCUAUCUUUUCUCGUACCAUUAACAUUAAUUAUUUCAUCUCUUUUAACUACCACACCCGGAAGUCUCCUCAGUAUAUGCCUCAUACCAUCUUAAGCGAUCUUCUCUUAUCUUAUCUCCUAUUGAAGCUUAUACGUAGUUAUUCAUGAAUAAGAGUAUUUCUUUUCCUAUCUUUCCUAGUAACUCUAUACAUUCAUCGCAACAUUCUCAUUUCGACAACACAAAUUUUUUUUAUAUGUUUUUUCUUAACUACUUAAUGCUCGAUCCAUAAAGUAUUAUUAGUCUCACAAUUGUCUUAUAAUUUUUUUUAAUCUUAUUCGAUGAUCACACAAGACUCCUAAUGCCUCUCGUCAUUUUAAUUAUCCUGUUUUUACUCUGUGAAUAAUAUCUUCAUUGAUCGCUCUAACUUGUUAAAUAAUUGAUCCAACAUACCUAAAGCUUUUAUCUAAGAGACUUCUUGUCCGUCCAAUUUAAUUAUAUUUUCUUGUCUAUUUCUUGAAUCAUUAAAAUUAUAUAUUAUAUAGUCAGUUUUAGUUCUACUUAAUCUAAAACCUUUAGUUUCUAAGGCUUGCCUUCAUUGCUCAAGCUUAUAAUUAAUUUUACUUAGGCUUUCAUUAAUUAUGACAAUAUCAUCAGUAAAGAACAUACACUAGGGAUGUCUAUCAUGUAAAUGAUUAAUAAGUUCAUCAAUUAUCAAUGUGAAAAAAUAGGGACUUAAUGCGCUACGACACACUUCUUGUAGUUCUAACACAAGUAAUUAUAUUAUUAUAUAUAUUUUUAAUAAUAUCAAUAUAAUUAGUGGAUACACUUUUCUUUUUCUAAAAGCUACCAUAAUAAAUUUCUAGAAACCAUAUUAUUGACUUUAUCUAAGUCAAUAAAAAUCAUAUACAAAUCUUUUUUUUCUCUAUAUUCUUUUCCAUUAAUUAUCUUAAUAAAUAAAUAACUUCUAUAGUUGAUCUUUUAGGCAUAAAACCAAAUUGAUUUGAUUAACCAUAAAACCAAAUUGAUUUUUAGAGAUAUUUAUUUCAAGCCUUAUCCUACUUUUGAUGACUCUUUUCCAUAGUUUCAUAAUAUAGCUCAUGAUUUUAAUUCUUCUAUAAUUUAAAUAAUUUUUUAUAUCAUCCUUGUUUUUGUAAAUUGGUACCAUAAAACUCUUUUUCCAUUCAUCAGGCAUAUUUUUGAAUCUUAUGAUUUUGUUAAAUAAUUUAGUUAACCAUCUCGAUAGGGAUAUCGUUUAGCCUCACACUCUUAGCUAUUUUCAUUUUCUUUAAUGCAUCUUUUAUUUCAUUAGCUUUAAUUUUAUGAAUAAAUCUAUGAUUAUUAAAUUCAUCACCAUCAUUUCUCAUUAAAUCUAAGUCCUAUGUGAAAUAUUUAUUAAAUAAUCUAUAUAAAUAAAAUUUUCAUCUUUCUUUAAUCUCAUUAUCAUUAAUAAGUAUUUUUUUAUUUUCAUCUUUAAUACACCUAAUAUUAUUUAAAUUCUUAAACUUUCUUUCCCAUACUUUAGCAAUUCGAUAUAUAUCUUUUUUACCAUAUGUAUUACCUAAUCUAUUAUAAAAAUUAUCAUAAGCUUUCUAUUUUAUCAUACUAAUAGUUUUUUUAGUCUUUUUUUAGAUUCUUUAUAUCUUUUAAAAUUUUUCUCAUUUAUAAUUUUGCUAAUCUUUUAAAAUAUAAUUUUUAGUACAAAUUUAUUUUUUGAACUUCCUCGCACCACCACCAACUCUCUAUUAAGUUUAUAUCUCUACCCUUUGUUUCAUUAAAAAUAUCCUUUGUUAAGCUCCUAAUCUUAUUGGUCAUCGUAGUUGAAAUAAUACUAAUAUUAUUCUUAUUUAAGUUCUAAGUCGUCUUCCUUUUCAUCUUAUUCUUAAAAGUGUUUACAUUAUCAUCUUUAAAAUUCCACCAUCUAGUCGUAGUAAUUUUUUCUACUAUCUUUUUUUUACUUUUAUUUUCUAUAGUAAAUAUCUAAUACUAUCAACCUAUGUUGAUUCGUCAAACUUUCGCCAGGUAUAACUUUACAAUUCUUACAAAUAACUUUGUCUACCUUUUUAGUGAGAAAAAAGUCUAUUUGACUACAAUUGUGACCAUUCUUAUAAGUAAUUAAAUGAUCAUCUCUCUUUUGAAGUAAAUAUUUAUAAUUAUAAGAUCGUACAAAGUUGCAAAAUCCAAAAUCAUACCACCAUCUUCAUUUCUCUCCCCAUAACUAAAACCUUCAUGCCCCCCUUUAUAUUUACUAUAUGUUUUCUCUACAUGACUAUUCAAAUCUCCUUCAAGUUUUUUGGUUACAGACAUUCCUUGAAUGAUAUAAGCUUUUCCAAAAUUCUCUUUUGGUUUGAUCAUCUAAUCCAACUUGAAGGGCAUAGACACUAAUGACAUUCAAAACAUCUUGUCCUUUCACAAAUUUUAGAACUAUAAUUAUAUCUCUAAAUCUUUUUACAUCUACAACAUUGCUCUUAAUAUCCUUAUCAACAACAAUUCUUAGACCAUUUAUGUGUUUACCUAACUCUCUAUUCUUGGAUUCAUCUUUAUACUCCCAUUGGUCCAAAACAAUGAGAGAACUUUUGCCUACUUAACAUCACAUCCGGGCCCCGAUGUGAUGGGCCGCUUCUGGUCGACCUUCUAACACUGUUUGCAAUUCAAGACACUUAGGUGGUGAAGGUGCCUCGCAUCACUUCCAGGUGAUGACCUCGUAACUCUCUACCUUUUAAUUCGGGCUUGGGAUCGGUAUUGGUGGUGUUUAAAAAUAAAUAUUAGAUUUAAUAAAACCAUUCUUUUUCAUUGAGAUUCGAACUCAAGACCUAUUGUUUACUAAAUGGGUGCUCUAACUAACUGAGCUAUGGUAAUACUAAGCAUGCAUCUCAAAAUAACAAUUUUGCUUCACUGAUGAACGCUAUAUGAUUAAGUUACAUAUUCUUUGAAUAUGUAGUUAAAUCUUCUCUUCUUUUGGAAAUUAGAUUUUAGUUACUAAAAACUUUUGAAAAUCUUUGACACUAAACUUUUUCAUGGGGUUGAUGGCAAUUACAAUGGAGAUUUAUUGAAUCCAUGCCGUAGGUAUAGCAGUAGCAUAUAUGACAUUUUGGGAACUAAAGUUGAUGCUUGCAAUGAAACUGAGCUAAAGUUGAUGCUUUUAACCUAAUAUUUUUACAGCAGCCUACAGGUGCCAUUUGAGGUAAAAGUAAUGCGUAUAAAUAAAUUAGAAAGAUCCCAGAUAGACCAAAUUCCAAUAAAACUAGUGUCCUGUGGUUUAUUUGUAUCAGCUUUUUGGAUGAGAUGUCAGUGGUAAAAAAUUAAUAAUAUUAUAGAGUUGUAGGAUAUGUGUUCAACUCUCUGGGACACAGUUUGUCUCCUUAUUUAAAUUUCACUUGUGGGCUGAGUCACACUUCUAGCCCACAGGUGAGAGUGAGUUUUCGAAUAUAAAUAAUAAAAUCUGUCUCACUUAUUAUGCUCUUAAAUGUCAUAGUAGUGGUUAAAAUUUGAGUUUUGAUUUAUGUAAAAAUAACAUUAACCUCAAUUUUAUACUUUUGGCAUAUCAUCCUGUUAUAUCUUUAAGGCCUUCUUUUACUGAGAAGAAGGCAGAUCAUCGCUUGUUUUCUCUCAGCCAACUCUCCUUUCUUCCUCCCCCUUUUCUCUUUCUAGGGAGAAGCAGAUAUUCCUCUUGGAUAAUAUGAUGAUCGAGAUCAUAUUUUAUUUUUCUCACGACUAUAAAUAGACUCUAAUUUCAACUUCUAAUUUUUUUGACGAUAUCAUUGCAUCAUGUCAUUGUGAAAUGUUCAUAUUAUAUGUUGUUGUCACAAAUGACAGUGUUCUACCAUCAUACUCAAGAACACUUAAUUUGGAAUUUGAACCAUGGUUGCAGUAAUUUACUUGGCUUCUUCUGAUGUAUAAAUUGUGAGAUCAUGGUAAUAUCCCACUUUGUCCAGAUUUCUGCUAUCUGCCUUAAGUACCUUUAACCCUUGUGUUAAUAACAUUUUUGUAUACUUGAAUGUUACAAAAUCAAACUGGAUGUGCAACGAAUUAUCUAGUUUAAUCGGGUUGGUUAUUGACAAGGUCUACACCAGCUUUUAUUGGUGUGAGCUCUGUGAGCCCUGAAGAAUUAUCUGUUCUGGGUUAACUUGUAAGGUUCGGCCCCUCAGGUCUUGGAUCUAAAAAUGCUUCUGGGAGACGAUCACCCCUGCUUCUUUAUUUUAUUUGGUGUGAGCUCUGUGAGCCCUGAAGAAUUAUCUGUUCUGGGUUAACUUGUAAGGUUCGGCCCCUCAGGUCUUGGAUCUAAAAAUGCUUCUGGGAGACGAUCACCCCUGCUUCCUUAUUCUGCCCUUUAUUGGGCCUUAGUUCUGCAACUCUCUAACCAACAUAGGAUUAAAUAUAACCUUAUUAAUUAUUAUGCUUAUUUUAUUUGAGUUCUCGCUGGAUUGGGAAAUGUGUAAGAUUGAUAGAAUUGGUUGCUGACAUGUUAGGAGUAUCUUUUGACCUGAAAUGCAUACAUUAUUUUCUUUACUUUUUUAUAUUCAACUUCAUCCGGAGACCUGUGUUAUUUCAUACCUGUGUGUUAUUCAAAAUCACCUAGUGGAAGGAGCUUUCUGGACAUAAGUAUCUGAAAGCAUGUAUGAUUAUAUAUUAUUUGCUCAUUCCUGUGGAAAUUACCUUGCCCUUGUUUCUGCAGAUAGUUGUGUUGCUGAUUUUAUUUUUCCUUAUUUCUAAUGUGAAUUUUUUUCCUCAUGGAAUAAAUACAUUACCAAGUUGAUUCUCCUUUGUAAUUAUUUUCAAAUUAAAAUGAUGAUCAUAAUGUCACAGCCUGUUGAAUGGAGUCUUGCAACACAUUGAAAAUUUUGUGUCGCUGACCUCCCUUCUUUUUGAGUAAUGAUGAUUUGAAGAUUAUGAAUUUAUUUUCCUGGUUUAUGAGCAGGUUGUUAUUCCUUUGAAUCAGCUCAAAGCAGCUAAUCCUUCGGUCAGCAAAAUGAAAUCUGCAGAAAAAUAUAUUCAGGUUGUUUCCAUAGACAACCAUGAGUUUUGGUUCAUGGGAUUUGUGAGCUAUGAUGCCGCUAUCAAGAAUCUACAGGAAGCUUUUCGUGAUGCACAGGAGUCUCAACCAUAAUAAUGGUGGCUUCAAGCUUGAGGCCAUUUAAAAGCUUUACGAGGGACAGCUUGGCGUUCCGAGGACACUUGCCAGAUGAUCUGGAAUGUUUGGUCUCCAUCUAUCCAAUAUCUUGGGGAACAACAGUAUAAUUCUUUUAAUUUCAGAUGAUUUAAGUUGCCUUUAUGGGUGUGUGUUUGUCACUUGGCGUAAGUUCUUGUGUUCAUGAACUGCCCAUGUUUAGUUUUUGCAUGGAUUUGGUUAAAUUAUCACAGUUUUAGUAAAGCUCUAUAAGUUGUGUCAUUAUCAGAUGACCUUAUAAGUUUCAUUGUAUCAUAUGACAGAAGAGCUAUUAAACUGCCCAUGUCCUCUGGAAGGUCAGUGCCAGGGCCCAAGAACUCGUUCUGGUGAUGAUGUAUUAUCAUGAACUGGGUGCGGGUAUAUUUCUGGACUGGUGAAAUUAUAUUUGCACUUUAAAUUGGCAAGAGUAUCCUCUACUGCAUUUUCUAUUUUUUAUUGUUACUCACUUGAGAGAUCAUUAUAGUUUUAUGGCUGUGGUCUUAGCAGAGGCUAAGUGUCUUAUAUAGAGACUAACCUAGAAAAUGGGAAAACUUGUGCUAUUUAAAACUUGAUAUUAGCUGAGCAAGAAACGACCCAUCUGAUUGGAGUAAAUUUUGAUUUUUGAUCUUUUUUUUCUUCCUUGAGACUUGUUCUUAAAUAAUAUCACUUUCUAUAUAUGAUUCAUAAUGGUUUAAAUUUAUGCCACGGAAACAAUUUUGAAUUAAGAGUCAAUAUUCAUGUUUGUUGUUUACAUGAUUACAACUAUUUGACUAAAUAUCUUUUAUUUUGAUGGAUUAAGUUGCUGGUUUUGUUUUCUUUUUUCUUCUGAAUAAAUUUGUAGGAGACUUCUUCGACAUUAAUAUUAUUAUAAUCUGCAUUUUAUUUCAACACCUUCAAUCGCAAAUAAAAUUUAGGGGAAUAAAUCAUGCCUAAUGAAGUUGUUUAUCUUCGACCUUAUUUCAACACCUUCGAUCUUUGCUUUAUAUAUAUAUAUAUAUAUAUAUAUAUGGACUGCUAACUUUUAAAGAACUCGUAAAUCAAUUCCUUAUCUUAAAAAAAAGCUUAAUUUAAUAUUUCAACAUUUUCGAAGUUAAUAAGUCAAUUAAUUUGUGUCAGGUAAAAAUGGCAUUAAGCAGACGUGUUAGUCUACGUCUGGACCUUUGUGGGAGAAGCUUUGAUUGACUGAUUAAGAUUCAAUGAGCCUUGCCAUUAGGGAAAUCAUCCUUACGAUCACACGGUCCCACCCAUCUCCCCGGUGUUGACAACCCACACUGCACUACAUCACCAACAAGGUAACGAGCAAUGGCGCACUGUCCUCCAUCAUUAAGAUCACGUAAGAGCGACCCACCCAUCAUCAAUCAACCAUCACAAGCCUCCGUUGAAAUCCAACACCAGAACAAGGAGAAGAAAUGGAGAUGCAAACAGCUAAAAGGAUCAAGGGGAUCAAAACAACACCACCUACCUAGCAGACCAAAGGACUAAAGGAAAGAAGAAGAAACCUUCCUUAAUCGGGAGGAGGAGGAAGAUUUAGGGUUUCUUACCGAGGGUGUUCUUGUUGUUGUGCAUCCACACCUUGAGGACGUGCCGCUUGAUGCACGUCUCCUCGCAGAACUGCUGCACCGCAGCCUCGUCGUGCUUCUGAAUCCGCCACCCCAGCCGCUCCGCGAAGGCCAGCAUCUUGUCCUUCUGCUCCUGCGUAAACUUGGUCCGAAAUCUCUUCCUCGCCCCCGACCCCGACGCCGCCAUGCCUCCUCCGCUGGCACCGCCGCCCAUCGUGGGGUUCGACAUGUCCUCCUGCUCCUCCCUGCUCUGCGCUCCUCCGCCCGACGUCGACGGCAAAGCCAAAGGCGCUGCCCUGUGCUGCUGCCCCGCGAAUGCCGCCGCCGCAUAGUGGUGGUGGUGGAGGAACUCGGCCGUCGUCCGGUAGUAGGGCGAGAACUGGGAGUGAUACCCUGAGAUCUCCAUUGCACCACCACCCCAGGAGGCCCCUCCUCCCCCCGCGCCACCUUCCUCGGGGUCCUUCCGGUGGAAGUUGCGGUGGCAGCCGCAGGCGGCGCAGCGGAGCGCGUCGAGGCUCCCUUCCGCCCCGGCCGCCAUGAACUCUCCGCAACCGUCCACCGCGUGCCCCCCGAUCCCCACCGCGUGGUUCUUCAAGCACUCCCUAUACCUCCCUCUUCCACCUCCCCCACCGUAUGCUUUACGAUGGCCUGAACCCCCCACCGCCAUCGUUCCCGCUGAUUCCCCUCCUCCGCCCAUCUUCGCUCCACCACCUCCUCCUCCUCCUCGACCUGAAUUCUCCAUGGGAGUGUCGUAACUAGAACCCAUAGGCAAAUCCAUCUCCUCCUCCCCCUCAUCAUGGUCGUCGAAAUCCAUGCCCACCGGCUCUCCCCCGUCAGAUCUCCGGAUCGGCUCCUCCGCCGAUUCCUCUCUCCCUCUCUCCUUCUCUCUUCAGCUCAAGCUCAGGUGUAGAAGAGGACAAGAGCGAAGAGUGUGGACGCCAACAAUUCUAAAAACCGUCCUCUACUAUAGCUUUGUGAUGAUUCUCUCUCCCUCUCUCUCGCUUUUCCUCGACAAGCUGACUUCUCUUCAUGGAGUGAAGUGCCACUCGCUCCCUUGCUUCCGAUGCCUGCCGGCCAAAUCCACCGGCCGGUCCCGGUGGCUUAAGCAUAGCCCUAAGCACCCUCUCCCCACCUACUUAAACGCACCCCUCCCCACUCAUCCGUGCGACUGCUUAGAUUUUUACUGUGUUACUCUCACCCGUGGAUGCACUGCACAUGCGUCACGUCAACAUGAAGUAACGCCCCAUGAUACGAAUCACAAGCAGAACUAAGAUAUAACUCAAUAUUAUACUCGAGAAUGACAAUGGGCCGGAACAAAGAAUCUAAGGUUAAGGUUCUUAGUAUAGCUUCGUUCCAUCGGUUGACCAACGAAGCUUUGGUUGACUGGUGCUAGGAAGUUGACCGACAAUAAUCAACUACAUCAUGGUUGAUUAUGCAAUACUAAUAAUUCUAAUACAAUGGCAUCAAGUAACUUAGUGCUAACCAAUUGAUGAGAUAAUGUUGGAAGGAUGUGUGUGGAAUGAGGAGUCCAAAGACUUGUAUUAGCUGAAACCUCAUCUUAGUCACCACACUCCGAUCCGAUCUGGUCCUUCUCUUCACGCAGCAAGAGCCUCGUUGCUCAUCUCAACCUAUGGGAACAUGCAAAUUUAAGUACUCUUCUCUAUUCCUCAUGUACAAAUCUUAUAAAUAGAACACUGUUGAGGUCAGAGGUGUUGCUGUUUAGCUUGGAAGAAAAUGUACGCGCCUCUGACCAGUCUUCCACGUCCCUUUUGAAGUAGAAAACCCUAACGUUUUGUGGUGAUGAUAGAGAGGAAGGGGGAGUCGCACUUAUUGGAACUUGGUGGAAGUGGGAAUGGCCAAAGACAGUGCGUCGGAUAGAUUCCAAGUAAAAACACGUCAUGUAAGUAAACGUUUCACCUGAUAGUAUAUAUUUAAUAAAGGAAGAUAAGCCUGGCUUGUAUCAGCUGUCUGUCUCGCAUCAAACAUCUACCACGCUUCUCAGAUAACGUGUCCGAUGGUGAUGAAAGUACAGGCUGAGCGGAAAGAGAUGACCACCGUUGUGGCUGGCUGUUUGUUCAUGGAAGGAAAGCUGGUUGGUGUUCCGGGCACAGGGGAGGUGAAGGUAUGGCGUGGGGAAAGGAACGGUUCAUGUCAUGCGAGAAGGGCCAGGCCAUCAGGGGUUGAACUGACGCCAUGCUCUGACGCCGUACGUCAGGCCUGUCAGCUGGCAGGAGACCACCGACGGGGGUGUGAAUGCAUGAGAGAGAGAGAGAGAGAGUUUGACAAGCAAUGAAUGAUGCUUCGAAAUGUAGCAAGAAGAACGGCGACAGGGGAGCACACGACACUGUAUCGACUCAGUGUCGCAGUGAGGCACUGUAGCAGGAGCAGCUGCUGGAAGAGGAGGUGAUGUUUCAUGUUUCACGCACCGUCUUCUGCUGAUCUCGCAAGAAGCGCAACCACGGGAGGACCAGUCAAGUACCACCCAACAACGGUGCCCCGUGGUAACACGGAAACCGGUUUCGGAACUGUUCCAAGAGAAAGAAGGCACAUGAGAGAGAGAGAGAGAGAGAGAGAGAGAGAGAGAGAGAAAGGAUAAUGGAUGUGGACAUGACGAUAAAAGAUUGGUCUGACCGAGAUUUCCAUUUCUAUGCUUCGCAGGCUUUUCCCACUUUCGCUUUACCUCUUUUUUUCUCGCUCCUACACAUGCUCUUUUGAGAUGAGAUGGACUUCACAUUCCUCCAUCUCCCCAACUAGGCAUCACCACCAAUCAACUCGAACGCAUGGUUCCUUGCUAUACUCUACGCUUAAGAUUCGUACUGUCAUAUCAUAUUUUAAUCGAGUCAACCUUACAUCCCAUGUUAAAUCAAAGCAUGGAAACUAAACAAAGGGAUAGACAAGGGAAUGCUAGUGAUGUAGCGGACAUUAUGCAGUAUGUAUGUAAUAGUUGUUGCUUCGAUGAUUCCCGCAGAGUGUUCACAGAAGGCAGGGAAUUACAAGUGCCGAAACGUCUGUGCAGCGCUCAUUCCUCAUCCCAGCUUCUCCCUCCUCUUGCACCGUCACUCGUUUGUCUCAUUUCUCCCACACACAUACACACGCAACCAGCGGACACCUCACACACGGAUGCCCCCUGUUCCAACACCUCCAUACGAAACAAAAGAACGAGAGGGCACGGACAACAAAAAGUGGAUCCCUUUGAGCAGUGCUGGAGGAGAAGGAAUGGACCAUGUCACCUUAGGUGUGGGGUGCGCGUUCUUUGGGAUCAUGAUUGGUCACUUUCAAGUUUGGCUUGCUCGACAUGUUAUCCCUCCUUUUCCCCGUCCGAACACAGAUGUCCCCGCUUCCCCUCACGCCAAGCUACACAAAGAAGAUAACAUCUGCGAGCUGCGGGCGAGAACACCGGGAUGUGUUGUGUUGGAAACCGAGUGGAUGGAUGCAACGUCGCUGAUCGAGGCGCUACCACAACAUGCCAACACAAUAAUACUUGAUUAAGACAAUUCGUGGGAGAUGCUCCAAAGCGGAGCCUGCGUUGAUCUAAGUCUCCAAACUUACUCAUGCCUAGUUUUGACUGUUUCGCAUGUGAGUGCGAACAGUGGCAGUAACUCGAGAACCUUUACAGAGCUGUGCAGGUUAGCAGUAGGAUCAGCUACAGAACUGACUCUACGUCACUGGAUCGUGAGAACCUUAACACUGGCCACGUACUGUGGAGGUACCGGGUUGGGUAUGCUGAAGUCUCGGAGUCCGUCUUCUCCCUCGGAUCUUAGGUGGAGCUCGAUAUAUCGUGGUGGGUGGGCGAGCAUCGUUCAACAUGUAGGGGCAGUGAUGCACGUAGGGGAAGACAUGGAUGCAUGUAUGUGGCUUUGACCCUCUCGUAUCGCAUGGUUUUACGGGGGGUCAUCAAGGGACGUGCGCGUUCUGCAUGUGUUGGCUGUUUCCCUCUGUUUGCAAGUGAGGCCAGAUUAAUGAUGCAUAUAGAUUACGAAAUAUUAUAUCGUAUCAUCAUCCUGAAUGCAUGAGAGUGGAAGUAGAGAGAGGGAUUUCUGGUUUUAAAUAGUAAUAGCGGGGAGGGGUGAUAGCCGGAAGAGAAUUUGAAAAAAAUGAUGGGAAAAUGGGAUUUGAGAAGGAAUAGGUGAUGAAGAAGUGGUAAAAGGAUUUAAAAGUGAUUGUAUCAAUGAUACUUCAAAAGAUAGGAGUGAAGAAAUAUUGUUUUGGCAAGGAAGGCAUUAAUUCCAAUGAUAACAUUGAAUUAAUCAUAUCUUUGUCAAAUAUAUAUAUAGUUGGUAGUAAGGUUACAUAUAGAUAGAUGGAUUAUGAUAUGAUGAGGGUAAUAAUAACGAUGGGACGUAAACUGACGUCGUCGCCUGCUCUUGGGUGACGUCUCCUGUGUCACGUGAAUCGAGGAGACACAUGGGUCAUCUGUCUCGGUCUGACCUGAUAGCACUGGGUCGAGACAGACCAGAAUGCCGACCGAGGCACGUCGCCAUCCUGCAAGAGCCCGAUCCUUCACGCAACCCCAACACCGGAGUCAGAUGCCUUCCCAGGUACGGUCCUGCUCCCUGCAAGUGGGCACAUCAACAAUGGUGACCUUUCCUAUAAAAACCCUUGCGUUCGAAACGAGGGAGGAGGGGAAAAAGGCCUCAUAAGAUUAUCGACUGACUUGAUCGUCGGAGGGGUCGGGUCGAGCUCUCCCGACCCGACCUGUAUGCAGGGACAAAGACGGAGCGCCACUCCACCGUGUGCCUAGGCGAGGAGUUCCCUACCGGAGGAAACGACUGCCCCGUCGAGACCGGAUCAACACACUCGACUACCUCAACACUCUCAAGGGUAAUCCCGAGAGAUCCUCGCUCAUUCGAAUUUGAACUCAACUGCGUUGACCCCGAGGCCGCGGCUUAAAGCUGUUGACACAACAUGAUACAACUUUUUGGUGACAUAGAAUGGUUGAGGAGAUGUGGCCAUCUCGGUAAGCAUUGCUAGAGAAGGUGUGGCGUCUUUUGAGGAGGCUCACGAAGGGAUAUUGUGAUUGGACUAGCUUGUUUUUGUGUCAAAUUUAAUAGGCCAUAGAAGAAAUCACCUUGCUCGUUAGAGAUAACCAGAGAAGAUGGUGGGAUGUUGGAGGGAGAAGCAUAAGGAGGAGGUGCAGAUGUAUUAGUGUUGGACGUAAGGGAAACCAAAGAUGAAUUUGGAUAAUACUCCACUUUAUGACAUGCUCUGGGAGUAAUUAAUUUUAUAAGCUGUAGUUUGAAAAAAAAAGGGGUCUCUCCAAUCUUAAUCUAUAGUCCUUAGGGAAGAGAGGAGAUAGGUCGAUAAGGAUACAUGUUCUUGCAAAUUUGCCUCCAUCACAUUUGAUAGUAAUAUCAUCAUCUAUCUCGACAGGUUUGCCUCAUAGAGCAUUAAUUUAAUAUAGAAUAUAGAAAUUUAAAAAUUCAAGAAGGAGAUCGAUGAAAUGGAUCUAAAUUGGCAUUUGCUUAACCAUGUCAUGUCCUAUAAGGGGAAGAAAGUUGUCUCUCCAAGGAAGAAGACAGAGGAGAGGGCUUGACUCUGAAAGAACAAAGGUCUCCCUCCCUAUAAGAAUAGAAGUCAUCUCUUCUUUCCAGUGGAAAUGAAAACAAAAAAUAUCCUAUUUGGAUACUAUAGGAAGGAUUCUACAGUUUAGGAAGAUUGAUAUUUAGGAUUUUAAGAGUUGGGGCCUUACCAAAAAAUUUGCCAUAGAGAUUACCAAAAUGAUUUAAUGAGAAAUCAAUAUGAUAUUUUAUUUAUUUAUUAAAAAAUAUUUUAUAUUUAUUUAUAUGAUUAUUUUUAUUUAAUUAUAAAUUUAGGCCAUGUAAAUUUUUUAUAAGAUUAUGUAUAUUAUUUACUUAUUAAUUUAAAUAAAAAUAUGUAUUUACUUUUGAAUAAAUAUUAAAACAUAUUAUAAUGAUAAAUUUAUCAUAAAAUAUUCAUAAAAUUUUAAUAUACAAUUUUAGCAAACAAAACUGAUGUCUAUCUGUUUUUUUUUUUCCAAAGUAUAUUGAGAGGAAUAUACUUAUGUGAUAUAUUUUUUAAUAUACACGUGUCAAAUUCCAUCAACGUGGAUUACCCAAACCGACGGAUUACUCUUCGUGACGUCAUAUUCUGAUUUAUUUGGGAAAAAAUUGAAGGCAGAAAACACGUGCCAAGUGCCAGCGUCACUGUGGCGGCCCGCGCUCGGCCCCUGAGACAUUGCCCCUUGCGUCAUCGGCGGCGGCGACGCCAGCGCAUUGGCGGAGGUAGCCGGAGAAGAAGGAGACGAAGAUGAAGGCGCUGAUAAGGACGAUGACGACGGGCAUGGGCCCAGCGGCGGGUCCCGGGAGUUGACCAACCAAUUCCGAUUGGCACGCGGACUCCAUCGAGUGGGUUUUAACGGUUCAACCCGCGGACUUGCAAAUUCACAGUUAGCUCUUGAAAUAUAUUGACAUCUCACGUAGCAAAAUAUACAGCAGUCUUUGAUUGAAAAGCACUUGGCUGCAAUUGUGGUACUCUGUUCUCGUAUAUGAAUUCAGUAUUCUCUGUCACGUCCAUGUUAUUAUCGAUAAAGGGAUCAAAGAGAGAUUACACUGCCGCAUAGUGCUUCUUCGACAAACUUACAGCAAUGAAGUGUUGCUGAAUAGUAUGCUCUCGAGAAUGUAGUAAGAAACUAUAGAAAGGAACUCAUGUACAAGUUUAAUCCCUAACAGAGCAAAAACAUAGGAUAACAAUGAUGGAUUAGGGAACCCAGAGAGAAUUUUGAGGCAUCCAUCAUUAUUUGGGCUUCAGAGAGGCCGCGAGACAUUAACUGUAUGGGUGGCCCAUUUCAAGAAAGAAGACGCAAGUUCUUGGGAUCAGAAAAGAACAAAAAGACCAAGGAUUAGAAUCAACAACAUAGAAUAAUGUCAUUUGCAUCGAGAUUCCAGUUAAAACAACUCUCAAUCAUCUACAUUAAUAAUUCAAGCAAAGGACGAACUUAAUGCACGAAACUUCGACCAAUGUGGGAUUUAUGAAGAGGACAAAAGUUAAUUUUGUAUUUUAGUACUUCAAAUAAUACAAAAGAUAUAACCAUAGAUUGCAUGAUCUUUAUAAGAUUAGACACAUAGAAGAUACACAGGUUUUUGCCGAGCUGGAGCUUCGAGGGACUUGUGCAAUCGAACAAUUUCUUUAUUUGUUUGUUUGUUUUUAUUAUUUUUCUCUUUGGAUUCUCCUAAGCUCCAAUCAUGAACCAUCGAUGAUCAUUGUCGGAUACGACUGGAUGAAUGACUUGAGCAGGACCAACGAUUCCUCCUCCACAGCUCCAAGUCUCUCUGCAAAACGGGACACCUUUCUGCAUCCAUGAGAUGACAGGGGUGUCAUCACUUUACCCUGUACCUCUUCCUCCUGCUUGUGCGGUCCCUAGUCGGAGAAACGACGUGCAAUGCAGCACUAGGAUGGAUCAAACAAGAGGGGAACAAUAUGGAGUCCAAUCCUGGCCUGUGUACAGAAACUACGCCUCAUGCUUUUAGCAUUUAAAGAACAAUAAAUGCUCUUUGCAUGUCCACCAACUCUAGCAAUAAAAUUUCAAUAAAUGUUACCUUUAAACUAUUAUUAUGUUCGUGUGACUUGCGCCAUUCAUUAUCUCCAUAUUAGAGAGUCAGAUCUUACCUGAGUUUUGGUCAUGUUGAAAGAGAGCUAAUCUUUGCAGUAAAAUUGUGUGAUACAUGAAUGAAAUGGCUUAGAUGUGUUAGCCAGCCAUUCACAUGCCCAAAGAAGGUCGAUGGGAAAUUAGAACCAUCUUGUUGGUAGAGUCUCGAGUCGAGCCAUCUAAAAAUAAAUCAUAAAUUCUUUUUGAUAUUCUUUAUAAAAGAAUUGUCUAUGAAUUUUGAAAUGCUUAAAAAUGCGAAAUCAUUUGUUUCGAAGCACUCUAACAUAUGCAUCAAGCGAAAGGAAAAAAAUAAUAUUUUAGACAAAAAUAUUCUCAUCAGAUCAAGAACACAUACGUAGGUAUCAACAAAAGUCUGCAUGAAACUCUUUAGAUGAGGUUCGAUCGUAUCGAUUGUUGUUUUGUAGAAUUGGUUUUUACACCGUUUAUCAUAUAAUAAUAGUUCGAUGAACGUAAAAAACACAUCACAAUCAUAUGAAUAUUUGGUUUCUAAAUAUUUUGAAUUUCCUAGAUCGAGGCCUUUCAUGACUGAUCUGAAAUCAUCUCUUUCUACGUACCCACGUAUACUUGCAUGUACAGUACAGAAGAGAAAAGCCAUCAAAAUCAUGCUUAAUCCUCGCAACACUUGGUCGUUAACUGAGUGAGAUUUGGUUUUAGAUAUACACAGAAAAGUAUAGUAAAUUAGACAAAAAGCAAAAAAAAAAAGAAAUCCCUGGAAUUGUUAGCAAAAGAAUCACAACUAUUUGAGCAUAUUAAUCAUCUUUCGGUUGUUAUUUCUUAUUAUCAUAGAGAAAAAAAGGUUGAACGAUUACGUUUGUCCGAGUCUCACACAUACGGCCCUCCGCAUUCAAAUUGGUUCAAAUCACCAUGAAAACCUCGAGGGUAUCAGUGUCCUUUUCUUCUUGUCGUAAAAUACGAAAUCAUUGGGAACUCAUGCAAUUGAAAGACCGGAUGUCUCCAAGGCCUCAUCAUGAGGAUAGUACCCAAACAUAACGAGCAUUUUAAUGAGGACAAAAUGCACUGUUCAUGGGAACAAUUAGUAAGGGUAGGAGUGCUUCGUUCUUAAAAUUAGUGAGUGUAUUGAGGCUACAACAGCUUCACUCCUUACCUCGUGUGUGCUAAUAAAUGGAGAUGAAUAAACCAAUACAUAUUGAAUGUCUGCAAUCUUAUGCUUAGCCCCUCGAUCAUAGUUUCAUUUUUCAUAAGGCAUCUCCAGCUGCGUUACGGUAACAUAUAUAUAUAUUUUAUGUAAUUCAUUUUUACUUAGCGUAAUGAUAGGCUUAUGGACCCAACCACAGAACUAUAUGUAUUGCUUAUCUGCAGAUGUUGUGAAAGAAAAAGAUGAGAGAAGAUGUUUAGAUUUCUGCAAAUGAAAACAUAAACAAAAAGGAAGGCGAAAUUAUUUGAACUGAUUCUAACAGGAGAUCAGUGUUUGCAUGCAUGCAUUCGACUGAUUCAUGCAUCAGUAGUGUCUUUUUGCAUUCACGGUUCCCAAGCCUCAUGUGACUCGUACGAACACUUUUUGACUUGCUGUCCGAAUCAUAAAGGUUGAGAGGGAGAACUGUACGCAAUAUUCCGUGGGUCGUUCUGAAUACGUAUCCAGAGGCUGCAGUCUGCAGCUUAUAAUGCAAGAGAGGGAGAGGGGAGAAGAGGGAAGGAGAGAGAGAGAGAGAGAGAGGGCGGGCGUCGUCAGCAAACCCGACGGUGGCAACACGCCAAAUCACGUACGUCCGCGUGUUUCUGGGUUGCCUCUCGUGAACGCCCCCAUGCAAAUCUUUGUACGAUAUAUCCCUCUAAAAACACCCCAAAAAAAAAAGAUAUUUAUCACCUUAAUUUAAUGCACAAUACAAAUAAUGCAUAUUCCAUACCCACGAAGAGAAGAAAGAUAUGAAAACAGAAGAGGGAAGAAAAUAUACCACAGAACUAGUAAGUAUUUUUUUUCAAUCAUUACUAUGGUAAUAAAAAGUACUCCACAUCGAUUCAUUUAACACAAGAUGUCAAUAUUCGAAUUAAGAAGCCAAGUAUGAGUUGAGCUUGCCAAAGUUAUAUAUAUCAUUACCAUAAUCGAAAAACUUGAGCUUCAAUUUGUGGUCAAACUUUUCCUUAGUCCUUGACGAUGUAAGAUCCUUUUACAUAGUUUUUUUGUUUUGUUCCCAAGUAUCAUUCGGACAUACAAACUUGUCCUUUACAUUGGUUGUGAAAUCAAAUUCCAGUUAUCAUUCUUGAAGCUGUGAUCUGUGAUCUGAUGUGUGAAAGUUUUUUUUUCCAUUUAAUUUUCUCAAUUAGUUUUCACAAGAAAAUAAGGCUGUCAUAUGUGUAUGGAAGAGAAAUAUUAUGUAGCUUUUAAAUGGAAGUAAAUAUAUGCAGAAUUGAUGGUUCAUUUAUGAAAUAACAACAAGUAUUUUGUAAUCAAAUAUGAAGUUUAGACUGUGACAACACACUCGAUUGACAUCAAGAGGAAGUGCAAAUCUAUCAUAAGCAUAAUAUUGAAUCUUGACCCAAUCUACUCAUAAGCAUAUCUUUAUUACUAAAAGUUAUAUUGUCAGAAGCACAAGUAAGUCAUUAGAGCUAGGAAAUGGGGGAUGAACUUUUAUCCACUUAAUGUUAUUGUGCCUUUCUUUACAAGGAAUAUGAUAAAACUAAAAAAUAUAUACAAUUAUAUCUUUCUUCUUCCUUUGAUCAAUCUUAUACCAUUAAAUUGUGAUGAGGAACUGUUAAAUCACAGCCCUGAAAGACUACUUUUUGCUACCAAAAUUUUUAAGAUCUAAUCACAGCUUUUCAACUCUUGAUUUAAUAAAAGUUUAUUAAAAUUACCUUUUACUACCAAAACAUGGGACGGUUCAAAUUAAUCCGAUAACAUUUUCUUCCACUCAUGUCCACUAAGCAUUAUAGACAUAGAUUGGACAAUUGAAUUUUAUACUUUGAAUAAGUAUCUCAUGACCUAAUCGGUGGGCAAAAUCGAGGUCGUAAAGGUUAACUAAAAUUUAUAACAAUUAAGGUAUUUUUUAGAUUUUACAAAGGAUGUGAGAUCAUGAUAAACCAAAUAAUAAUACAUUAGAAAAAAAAAUAUUUCAUCUCAUCAAGGUGAAGACUAUUUCUAAAAAUUAUAUUGUCUUUCUCCUCUCUUUAAAAAGAAAAUAAUACAUUAGAAAGACUAUUUUUAAAGAAAGGAAGAUUUGUUUUUCUCCUCUCUUUUUCCUAUUGUCUUUACAUUAGUAGUAUCAUUUGGUUUCCAUAAGUGUUAACUUGCCUGCAUACAGAAUCGAUCUAUCUUUGAUGAGAAAACCAAUAGCUCACAUGAUGAGGAAGUAAUUCCUGACGAUGAAUUAAUACAAAUAGAAGCAAAAUUUUGAAAGGCCAAAACACAGUAAUCAUUUAUAAUCUUCACAUCUUCUUUAUCGAAUAAAAAAAAUUACAAAGAUCAAAUAUAUUGUGAUUAAAUAUAUUCAUGAGCAAGUCUUGGAUUCAUUUAUCCCCAGUGGUGCACAGUCAAUAUAACUCUUUCAGCACAUCUUUGUCAUAUUUUCCAACAAGCAACUAUUUAGAACAGAAACAUUCUUAUCACUCUCUUCCAAGUUCAUUUUUAUGGACAUCAAUCAUUUCAGUUUGUUAGACAUGAUAAUGAUGUAUCUAAUGAUUGGGUUUACCAAACAAGAAUCUUCUAAAUUAUUCAGCACUCACUAUUUCCUCAGUGGAUGUUCAGCAUCAAGCAAUAGGACCCCUCCUCUAUUUAUGACUGUCAGUAGAAUCAUUGUUAGGUUUCUGACCACAGCCAUUGCAACUUUGUAAUAGAUCAUGUUUUUUGUGUCGGGCUUGAAGUUUUUGGCUAUUGAUAAAAUUUGGUUUUUUUACCAUAGUAAAACUUUAGGGUCAAAUACAGUAGAAGAGUGUUUGCUAUGUUAUCCUUUCUUACAUUUUGGUAAACUUGGCAAUAUGGAAUACAAACCUUAGAAAUAGCUGUCCCUGUAAUUUUUCUUAUUUUUGGACAAAUUUGUUAAAUUUCAUUAUUACAUGAUAAUCCCUCUUAUUUUUCUAUGCAUGCCAUGGUCUUCUAUUUUUAAGUCAACAUCUUCUGAAUAAACCAACUAAAUAUAAAUAAAACAAAAUCAUUUUUGCACCUAAUUGUGCAUAAUCAUAUAUCUAAAAAAGUGUGCUACUUCAAUCAAAUAACAAGAAAAUUGGAAAUGAAGCAAAUGAUUUGGAUUUUAUUCUCGACUCUAAUCUCCAUUCCCAUUUUUCAUGUAAGCUCAUUGUGACUGACAGAUAAUGCAGAAGAGAAAUAAAAUUCAUUAGAAAUUUAGGAUAUUCCUUAUAAUAUUUCAUGUCGAAUACUAAUGAAGAUUAAUAAAUAUUCUUAGUGGCGAAGAUGAAAUUCGAGCCUAGGACUUUGUGAUAAAUCGUCAAGAUCUUUAUUAGUUAAACUAAUUAGCACCUUUAACACCUUUAGUUAAACUUGUUAUUAGGUAAAUAACAAGUGUUUAGUGACUAAUAGCAAAGGUCAUAUAGACUUGUCUACAGAAAAGCCCAAGGUUUUACUAUGUGCACAACAUUUUUUAUCUUUUAAAAAAUAACAUAUGAAUGCUGAAAAUUUUAAAAUAGUAUAUAUAUUACUCUAAAUAUUAGUAUUCUUCCACAUUUGCCACUUCAGCUACCAUUAGUCAACAUACCAAGUAUAACCACUACUAUCUAUGUUACUGAAUUUUAAAUAAAUAUUUGAAAUGUAAAAUAGAAAUUUUAUUUAAAAUUUUAUUAUUUUAAUAGAGCUAUUAAUAUAAUCAAUAUAUUAAUAAAUGAUUUUUUUUUUCUUGAAAAGAAUCCAAAUUCUAAGAAACCAAUUAAAUUAGUAUCAGUAAUCCAACAUGUUGACUAAAAAUAGAUUCAUAUUGGAAUCCAUUCAAGAAUUAGAGCUAUGAUCCAACUAGAUUUAAAUCAAUUACAUUUAUUUGUUUCUCCACAAAUUAUGAUUUGAAUUUCUCAAAUAAUAAAUAUUGUUUAAAAGCCGUUUAAAUUGCUUUUGAAUUAUAGUAAUAGGUUGAGUUCCUAGCUCGGUAUCUCGGAUCAAAAUUGAUUUGUAUUCAAUGCAAUUAUCGUUGAAUAAUUGGACCAGGAUUCUAAUUAGAUUUCGAUCAAUAUUCUACUUAAAUCAGAUUCUGUCACGGAUUGGGUUACAAUCAACCACUCGAGAUGUUGAUCAUCUUAGAGGCAAUGUUGUUAUAUGAAUAAAUUGCACAAGUAGUUAAUUGAACAUUUUUUGGUCUUUCUUCUUUUAACUUUAAGACUUAAAUAUACUUAAACAACAGAAUAUGUAUGAUCAUUCAUUCAUCGAAGGUAACGAAGCAUUUGGCUUUCCCUAUAUGAUUUGAAUCUAAGUAGUUCAUAUUUCUUAAUAGAAUUUAAUUUGGUAUUUUUAUUUAGAAAAUGACGUUUUGAGUUUCUUUGAACUUUCAGUGAUAGAUAUGAUGCUUAGGAGUGCUUUUGCGUUGGUUGAUUAUGAUAUGCUGGCACGGGAACCAAUAAAAAAGCUCAGAAUCGAGAAAAACCUUCAAAACCUCGACACUCGAUCCAAGUGGAAAUCAAGUCCUCAGCUUCUCAAAGACUCGGAAGGAAGCGAGACAGAGCACUCAAAGCUUCUUCGAUAGAUUAACAUUCUUGAACAGGAGAGAUUGUUGGGUGUGGACGAGUAGUGUCACAUGAGGAAAUAAAGGAUAAUAUCAGGAACCGGUAGACUGUGAGUUUCAUGAUUCAUGUGAAAUAUAAGAUGUAAUGGUUGCGUAUAAUGAUUAGAUACAUUUAGAAACUUCUAUGCAUCAGAAUGGUUUUAUGAUUGCACUCAGAAGAUACUUGGAACUCGUGAGUUCAUGACCAGCUGAACAUAUUAAUAGUAGUGAUGAUGAUGAUAGAACUGAUGACGAUGCUUGUGGAUCGAUGAAUGAGAGCCAACUUGUGUUUGUGAGACUGACGAAGCACGAACUCUCGUUCUCGAGUUGUGGUUUAAUGUCGUUUGCGUGUUGUUCAUGGACUUUGAUUUCAUGUGCCUGUCUGUGGUUGGUGAUAGUAACUUGAAGAUGGAGACAGAAGCCGCAGGGGGUUCUCAUGCCCCACGCUGUUCCCAUCUCUCUCUCUCUCUCUCUCUCUCUCUCUCUCUCUCUCUCUCUCUCUCUGUGCAUGAGUAUGCAUAUGAUACGGAGUUUUCCAAGAAACCACAAGAUCGGGUAGGUUCAUGCAUUGGUUCGCAGUGUCAUGAAGUCCGCCAACGACGAAGCCCGUGAUGUUGUCAUAGUUGAAUCUUUGUCGGAAUGUUACGGCAUUGCUGUUUCCCUCAUCAAUACAAUCCUAUUUGAUUAUAUCAUCAUGAUGCAUUAUGCUCGACAGCAGAAACACAUGCAUGAGCAAAAAAUUGGCUGUCGUCAUACAAUGGCUUCUUCCAGAAAAGAUUAAAAAUGCCAUAUUAGAUUAUGUAAGACGUAAAUAAUAUAAUUAUUUAUAUCCUUCGACUAUCAACAAUCAUCCACAAGUUUCUGUACAAAAUCACAAAAGGAAGACAUCUUUUUAACGUGUUGAGUUCAUAAUCUUUGAAAUAUUUUGUUCAUUGUGUCUUUUCUAUGUAAUUAUUCUCGAUAUCAUCUUACCUUUUGUGGAGUUUCUGUUUAUGAGAAUAGUAACGCCUCUUUAGCAAUUCACAAACUCUCCGCUUUUCUUCAACACCAUUCCACCAAAUCAAACUUUUCAUGAGAAACUGUUUUCAUGGUAGCUAUAAUUCCUGUUCAAUAUUAAUUAUAUAUAUAUAAUAGUAUUUUGGUUUUUCUAACACUAAAAUUCCACUUUGUUACCUAAGAGGUAAAAGCAAAAACCAAGUUUUUUUUUCGUAGCAAAGGAAAGAAAAUAAAAUAAUAGAAAGACAGAGGAGAUUAUAUAAGUGAAAGAUCAUCUCACACUAUUUUCUUCCCGAACUCACUUUAGGAGGAUUCUUUAAUUUGUUGUCAACUACAAGUGUUAGAAGACAGAACGAUCGAUUUGAAUCUUUGAAUCAUUAACUUGGUUAAAACAAGAACAAUCCAAGGGAGGGUUGUUCACAGAAACAAUAGAGAAAAAGGCACAAGGCGUGAAUGAAUGAUGUAUAUCAUAAAGACGCUGAAACACUUACUUGUAUUCUGAGAGGUGCCAAUGCCAAAGAACUCAUGAAAAAGCAAUUGCGCUCUUCGUGAUCUUGACUUUAAAGCUCCUUACAUGCAUGCGAUGCAGCACUCCAGAACACAAACCGUCUUCAUAUACGUGCAAAACACAGACAUUAGUAUCUCACUUUUGCCUACAUCCUACGGCGACAAAAGAAGGGUGGGAUGGUAGGUAUAAAGGUCGUACAUGGGAGUAUUGACGAGUUACUAUCAACGGAAAGAUGAGACAAAAGCGAUCGAGAAGACUGUGCAGAACACAGUGUCUACGGAUUCAUCUCCCAGACUGAUAUAUCCCGACGCACGUCGCUGCGCUUUGUCUUCACCGGAUCAGAGUGUUGGCACUUGGGAAUGCAGCCUACUAACGUUGCAUGAUGCUGUGUGUGCUUCCAUGGCAGGAGUUAUCAUGACGGUGACACGUAAACGACAGAGGAGGAGCCAUGGCACAGUCAUACGGCACAUCCAGGCAAAUCGUUCCCUUCUAUACUGUUGAUAGAGACAAAACCUUUGGGAGGAAAUGGUUUGCUCUUAUGUGGAAGUUGGUAUUUUGGAUGUAUAGUAUGCGUUUCUUGCAAGUAUAGGGGGGCGUUGCAAGUGCAUGCAUGUACUUUGGCACGAGGAACAAGAGACGUCAACACUGGAAAACCCAAUUAUACCAUUUUGUUUUAUUUGAUAACCUAAGAUAUAUAUAUAUAUAUAUAUAUUCAUUUUUUGAUAAAUGAGUAAACUAUGUCGGUCAAUAUUUUAUGCAUUAAGUAUAUAUCAGAUGAGAGUUUAGAAUUUUAAUCUUUGAUAAAUGAGUUUAAUACACUAUCAGUAGAUUAAUAUUUUAGGUGUAAAAUAUAUGGAAUCCUUUAAUAAGUGAGUCUGGUAUCCCAAAAAAUAUAUGUCAGCAUAAGAACCUUAUUUAAGGUAAGGUAAAAGAAGAAUGAGUAAAAAAGUUGUAAGUGAUUUCCUGUAAUUUACCAAAUAAAUCCGUCGACAAAGAUAAAUUCGAAAUCCAACCCCCGUGAACAUUCUUAGAUCUUUCUGGCCAUUAUUGCAUGGACGACCUGACACCGUCGUCCCCACGCGAUCCACAGCGUACCAGCACGAGCAUUCAAUUGUUAUCACCUUAACAGUGGUGUCACACAACCCCCUGAUAUGGAAUCAUUCUCUGCCUCCUCCAACAGUGAAAGCUCAUGCAAUUUGUCAUCUGCAACAGCACCUUCAUUGGAAUCUUGUCUGAUCUAUCAAACAUUUCACCCCCAUUAUUACUUGGAAUCUCGCAAGUUUGGCAUAUCUACCCCUCCCAUGUAAGUGAAUUUUUGAUACAUCCAUCUAAAUUUAACUCUAUCCAUACUAGAAAAAAUCUACGAUAUGUCCAAACUCUGUAAGGACAGAGAUUGUCUCGCGAUGGAUCACAAUAAUCCCUAACAGUUAGGUGUCCUUCCUGACGCAGUCACUAGUUUUGUACAAGGGUUAGAGGAAUAAGCCUAUGGGUCUCUUCUCGGUAUUGUUGUCGCGUAUGGUGAUGUCGUCCCCGCGAACACUAUGCAUGCGACAGUCGACAUCCCAAAUUGGAGCGUAAGCUGUUGAUCGGUAGAUUUCAGGUGGGAGCAAUACAUCCUUUUUAGUCCCUUCUUACACCGUUAUUAUGCAUCGAUCCUUUUCGUAUGAAUCGCAACAAAAGAAAAGAACGAAGAAGCCUCGCCUCGAUCAUGUUCUUGCGACUACUCCAAGCUCGUGUGAUGCAGAAACCGGAUGGAGAUAAAGAGUAAAACAAGCAAAAGUUGAAGAUUUGCGGACGUAGAUAACAGGAAAAGUUUGACCUAACAAUGGACAGAGUUCCAGGGAGAAGCUUUCAGCCUUUAUGGCCGAUGACUGCAGAGGAAUUGGAGGAGGGACACUGGUGGUCACAUGGCCUUUUUCUCUUUAGCGCACAUAAGCGACAGCGCAGACACACGUCGACGCUCCAGAGGAACCCUUCAAGAUAUGUAGAGAGGGAGAGCUUCUUCUGCCAUGGCUACUUUCCUGUCAGCCUUUCCCCGUCCCCUUUUUGCCCUCGAUCUCUGUGCUUUGACAUCAGAUCAAUUAUGGACGAAUCAAAACAAAGCUCAAUUAUAACUCAUCGUAGCCAACCCCUCUACCCAUCGCCAAAUAAACUAACGCACGCCAUGUUACUUGUGUCUCUUCCCCUCCUUUGGCUUCAUCCGGAAAUGCUGUGCUGUUUCUUUUGGUUUCAUCGAGGCCUUUAAGUUUCCCUCUCCGCACGGAGGAAAGGGGCGAGCUCGCUCGGCCUGAGUGCCUUGAUUUGUGCUUUCCCCCGGAGUCGACAGCGAAGCAUAUGGCACUGGAAGCGGUGGUGUUCUCCCGAGACCUCCAUGGCUGCACCAUGAAGGAGCGGUACAACGUGGGCGGCGCAGCAUGGUGCCGUGCCUUCGCUGAGCAGAAGGGAAUGGAAUCAGAAUGUGAGGUCGGUAGUGGAAAGCAUGGGAGUUUGGACGCCCCUUGCACCUCCCUGACGCCAAAGACCGAUGCCCGCGGUGCAAACACGCCUCCGCCGGGGACUGCUGCAAAAGACGGUACUGAUGGCACCGCCGGCCACGAGGCGCCCGCCGGGCGGAGGAAGCGCAGGCGCACCAAGACAUUCAAGAACCAGGAAGAGGUGGAGAACCAGAGAAUGACCCACAUCGCCGUCGAGCGCAACCGGCGGAAGCAGAUGAACGAGUACCUCGGGGCGCUCCGGUGUCUCAUGCCGGCCUCCUACGUUCAAAGGGUUCGUCAUCCUUCCCCCCUCCCCUCCCCCACCCAUACUUAAUUCGCGUCGAUACCUAAUAGCAUGGAGGUCUCGCUUCAUUACAUCUGCUAACAACGAGCCGUGCUUUCAUUUUCGACAUCUGUGUGUGUGCCAUCUGAUGAUCUCUCUUUAUCAGAUGUCUUGUUCCUAGCGUAAAGUUUUCAGAGCCUAGUGGCAGACUUUACAACCAUGUCUGGUCAUCGUUCGGGUCCUUUGGUUCCCAAAAUGACAAAGAAUCUCACUGUCUCACAGCAAUGAGUUGAGAGAUCAUGUCAUAUGGCUGGUGGCUAUAACCAGUUCAGCUUUUAUUGCUUUACCUCUUAAUAAAGUCUCUUAAAAUGAAUGAAUGAGAAUGAGAUUUAGCGAAGCCAUCAUCAUGUCAUUCAUCAUCAACAGGGUGAUCAAGCAUCGAUCAUCGGAGGGGCGAUAAACUUCGUCAAAGAGCUCGAACAAUUAGUUCAAUCCCUCGAGGCCAGGAAGCGAAUCGAGCAAACCGCGGACGCAGCUCCUUUUGCCGACUUCUUCACCUUCCCUCAGUACUCCACCACCGCCUCCCGG